ensembl:snoRNA SNORD116 Small nucleolar RNA SNORD116
GGACCAAUGAUGACUUAACAAAAAAUGGAUCUUGUUGGAAUCUGAACAAAAUGAGUGACCAAACCACUUCUGUGAGCUGAGGUCC